GAACGCACAUUGCGCCCCCUGGUAUUCCGGGGGGCACACCUGUUCGAGCGCCAUUUCUACCCUAGAGCCCUGCUCUGUGAUGGGCCCCGUCCUCGCGGACGGGCCCGAAACCCGUGGGCGCCGUCGUCCGGCCCUGAGCGUAGCAAGAGAAAUCCCUCGCUCGGAGUGUCUGAUGGUGGCUGCCCCGACCUAUUUUUACAAGGUUGGCCUCGGAUCAGGUGGGGAUACCCGCUGAACUUAAG
rnacentral:misc_RNA from 1 species